GCACUGCUGAAGAGUCUCACAAUAGGACGAAACGGCUGUGCAAUGC
rnacentral:hammerhead_ribozyme from 2 species